rnacentral:lncRNA from 1 species
AAGCAAACUAAAACACCAUAUCACAGCAACCAUCCAACCAUAGCUCCAAUAGUAAGAAAAAGAAAAGCAUGAUGAACAAACAAAAAUCAGUUCACGGGCAGAGCUCCCUCAUUCCUCCAUUACACCAUGAGAAGAGCAAUCAUGUCCAUGGGCAAAACUAAGCAACUAACCUGCAUCAUAAGAUUCACAUAAUCAAAAACGGCUAGCAUUGGCACAUUGUUGCCAAUGCAGAAUGGUGUAUAAUUUGCAAUUCCCCAAUUAGAAACUACCUAUAACUUCACACCAGCAACCAUCCAACUCGAUCACCCAAAUCCCCCACUACACAGACAGAAGAGCUACUGUAUCAGCGG